UACGUAGGGCGCGAGCGUUGUCCGGAUUUAUUGGGCGUAAAGAGCUCGUAGGUGGCUUGUCGCGUCUGCCGUGAAAGCCCAUGGCUUAACUGUGGGUCUGCGGUGGAUACGGGCUGGCUUGAGGCAGGUAGGGGCAAGCGGAAUUCCUGGUGUAGCGGUGAAAUGCGCAGAUAUCAGGAGGAACACCGGUGGCGAAGGCGGCUUGCUGGGCCUUGCCUGACGCUGAGGAGCGAAAGCGUGGGGAGCGAACAGGAUUAGAUACCCUGGUAGUCCAUGCUGUAAACGUUGGGCGCUAGGUGUUGGGCCCUUCCACGGGUUCGGUGCCGUAGCUAACGCAUUAAGCGCCCCGCCUGGGGAGUACGGCCGCAAGGCUAAA
rnacentral:rRNA from 1 species